rnacentral:rRNA from 25 species
AACUUCUGAAUGUUGACCUCGGAUCAGGUAGGAAUACCCGCUGAACUUAAGCAUAUCAAUAAGCGGAGGAAAAGAAACCAACAGGGAUUGCCCUAGUAACGGCGAGUGAAGCGGCAACAGCUCAAAUUUGAAAUCUGGCUCUCGGGCCCGAGUUGUAAUUUGUAGAGGAUGCUUUUGAUGCGGUGCCUUCCGAGUUCCCUGGAACGGGACGCCAUAGAGGGUGAGAGCCCCGUCUGGUUGGAUGCCAAAUCUCUGUAAAGCUCCUUCGACGAGUCGAGUAGUUUGGGAAUGCUGCUCUAAAUGGGAGGUAUAUGUCUUCUAAAGCUAAAUACCGGCCAGAGACCGAUAGCGCACAAGUAGAGUGAUCGAAAGAUGAAAAGCACUUUGAAAAGAGAGUUAAAAAGUACGUGAAAUUGUUGAAAGGGAAGCGUUUAUGACCAGACUUGGGCUUGGUUAAUCAUCUGGGGUUCUCCCCAGUGCACUUUUCCAGUCCAGGCCAGCAUCAGUUUUCGCCGGGGGAUAAAGGCUUCGGGAAUGUGGCUCUCUCCGGGGAGUGUUAUAGCCCGUUGCGUAAUACCCUGGCGGGGACUGAGGUUCGCGCAUCUGCAAGGAUGCUGGCGUAAUGGUCAUCAACGACCCGUCU